rnacentral:rRNA from 1 species
UACGAAGGGGGCUAGCGUUGCUCGGAAUCACUGGGCGUAAGGUGCGUAGGCGGGUCGUUAAGUCAGGGGUGAAAUCCUGGAGCUCAACUCCAGAACUGCCUUUGAUACUGAAGAUCUUGAGUCCGGGAGAGGUGAGUGGAACUCCGAGUGUAGAGGUGAAAUUCGUAGAUAUUCGGAAGAACACCAGUGGCGAAGGCGGCUCACUGGUCCGGUACUGACGCUGAGGUGCGAAAGCGUGGGGAGCAAACAGGG